UGCUUGAGAGAUCAGAGGGAGAUCAAUGAAAAUUAUGUUGCUGGAGUGAGAAAAGAGACUUGCACUGUAAUGGGACAAAACAACUGUUGCAAAUCUGCUAAACAAGAAAAUGAAGCAGAAAUGCGUUUUGUAGAGCUAAAGCACUGAUUUCAUGGAAAAUUUUCUUGACAUUCGGAUAAAAGGAUUUCUAUUUUCAAAUGGGCAUAGCAUGGCUCAGGAAGUGCUGUGAAAGGAUCUACAACUGAAAGGAUCUUAUUAGUAUGGGCAAAUCAGCCAAAAAUAAUUUUUCU